UACGAGUGCCUCAAGCGUUAUCCGGAAUCAUUGGGCGUAAAGGGUGCGUAGGUGGCAUGUUAAGUUUGAUGUGAAAGCUCAGGGCUUAACCCUGAAAUGGCAUUGAAUACUAGCGUGCUGGAGGUUUGGAGGGGGGACUGGAAUUCUCGGUGUAGCAGUGAAAUGCGUAGAUAUCGAGAGGAACACCAGUGGCGAAGGCGAGUCCCUGGACAACACCUGACACUGAGGCACGAAAGCCGGGGGAGCAAACAGG
rnacentral:rRNA from 1 species